AACAGUAUAAGAUGAAUAAACAGAAAGAAACUGCCUUCAGUUACAAAUAGAAACAAACAUAUAACAACUAAUUGGUUUUGUUUCCAACAGAUACUUUUGCAGUUGUAACAUAUCCAUGGAAAGUGCAGUGAAUUUUGUUUGAAGCCACAAGGAAAGUAUAUGAAUGACAUGUUUCAUUUUCUUUCUUUUUCUUGUUCAACAGUCUGUUAGUACUAAUCUUGUCAUAAUUAAGUUGUGGUAUCUAGAAGAAUCUAGUUGGCUGUUAGUAGAUGGAGCUAGCUUAGUCUAGAAGUAUCCAGGGUAUGUAGGAGCCUUACUAGAAAUAAGAGUAGUAGUGUUCAAGUCAGUUUUGAAUAGGUUAAGGAGCAGGUUGUAGUAGUUUCUACAAGUUACUGUUCUGUGAACAGUAACCGACCUAGAAAGCCUAUAUAAGGAUGUAUCCCCCUUGUAAGAAAGCGAAGCUUGUGGUGCAUUGAGAAGAAUAUAUGUAGCUUCAUAUAUUGUGUGUUUGUGUGUGAGACACUAUCAUACCAAAGAGAAAGAGAGAGGAAGAUAACUGCAAGAAUAUUGACAGACGGAGAGUGGUCAAACGAAUGAUACCAUAGAAGUGAUUGUUUAUCAGCAAAAAAGUUGGAGUACAAAUGGAACCUUUUUCUUAGGACACGCGACAAGAUGAGCAUCGGCAUCUGCAUAUGUAGCAACCUCAUUUAUUGCAAUAUUAACCUUCUCCAGUGUUAGCCUCCCCUUCAUGUAUCUGUAGUAACAAAAUGGGAUAUCCUAUCUUAUCAAGUGUCAAGUUAUAAAAACAGCUUUUAGAUUCGAAUCACUAUCAUCUGAGACAGCAAGGGAAAGAAAGUUUCCAUGUUGAUCCUA